GACCACGUAGCUCAGUUGGCCGAGCAUUGGACUAGUAUUCCAAAGUUCGCGGGUUCGAUUUCCACCGUGGCCA
rnacentral:tRNA from 1 species